rnacentral:rRNA from 1 species
CAGUCGAACGCCAGCGAAAGGUGCUUGCACCUUUCAAGUGAGUGGCGAACCGGUGAGUAACACGUGGACAACCUGCCUCAAGGCUGGGGAUAACAUUUGGAAACAGAUGCUAAUACCGAAUGAAACUUAGUGUCGCAUGACACGAAGUUAAAAGGCGCUUUGGCGUCACCUAGAGAUGGAUCCGCGGUGCAUUAGUUAGUUGGUGGGGUAAAGGCCUACCAAGACAAUGAUGCAUAGCCGAGUUGAGAGACUGAUCGGCCACAUUGGGACUGAGACACGGCCCAAACUCCUACGGGAGGCUGCAGUAGGGAAUCUUCCACAAUGGGCGAAAGCCUGAUGGAGCAACGCCGCGUGUGUGAUGAAGGCUUUCGGGUCGUAAAGCACUGUUGUAUGGGAAGAACAGCUAGAAUAGGGAAUGAUUUUAGUUUGACGGUACCAUGCCAGAAAGGGACGGCUAAAUACGUGCCAGCAGCCGCGGUAAUACGUAUGUCCCGAGCGUUAUCCGGAUUUAUUGGGCGUAAAGCGAGCGCAGACGGUUGAUUAAGUCUGAUGUGAAAGCCCGGAGCUCAACUCCGGAAUGGCAUUGGAAACUAGUUAACUUGAGUGCAGUAGAGGUAAGUGGAACUCCAUGUGUAGCGGUGGAAUGCGUAGAUAUAUGGAAGAACACCAGUGGCGAAGGCGGCUUACUGGACUGUAACUGACGUUGAGGCUCGAAAGUGUGGGUAGCAAACAGGAUUAGAUACCCUGGUAGUCCACACCGUAAACGAUGAACACUAGGUGUUAGGAGGUUUCCGCCUCUUAGUGCCGAAGCUAACGCAUUAAGUGUUCCGCCUGGGGAGUACGACCGCAAGGUUGAAACUCAAAGGAAUUGACGGGGACCCGCACA